rnacentral:rRNA from 1 species
GAUGAACGCUGGCGGCGUGCCUAAUACAUGCAAGUCGAGCGGAGCGGGGACGGGUGAGUAACACGUGGAUAACCUCCUAUACGUCUGGGUCAACUUCGGAAAACCGGAGCUAAACCGGCUACUUAUAUAUGGAUCUGGGCUGGAUUAGCUGGUGGGUAAGGUAACGGCUCACAAAGGCAACGAUGCAUAGCCGAGCUGAGAGGGUGAUCGGCCACACUGGGACUGAGACACGGUCCAGACUCCUACGGGAGGCAGCAGUGGGGAAUCUUCCGCAAUGGGCGAAAGCCUGACGGAGCCACGCCGCGUGAGUGAAGAAGGUCUUCGGAUCGUAAAACUCUGUUAGUAGGGAAGCGGUACCUAAUCAGAAAGCCACGGCUAACUACGUGCCAGCAGCCGCGGUAAUAC